CUUUAAUUAAAUUGUGCAGGAUUAAUAACCACUUAAGACAAAUGGCUAAAUAGCAUUUUCAGAUGAAUUUGGGAAAUUUACUCCAGCGACUUCAUCAAAAAUAUGACUAAUGGCUGUUAUGUAAACCUAUUUUACUUAAAGGACCACUAUAGUGCCAGGAAAACAUACUCGUUUUCCUGGCACUAUAGUGCCCUGAGGGUGCCCCCACCCUCAGGGUCCCCCUCCCACCCGGCUCUGGAAAGGGGAAAAGGGGUUAAACUUACCUUUUUCCAGCACUGGGCGGAGAGCUCUCCUCCUCCUCUCCUCU